UCGGACCAUCGUCGUUCAGGCCCC
rnacentral:siRNA from 1 species